AUUGAACGCUGGCGGCAGGCCUAACACAUGCAAGUCGAGCGAGAGGCGGACGGGUGAGUAAUGUAUGGGGAUCUGCCUGAUAGAGGGGGAUAACUACUGGAAACGGUGGCUACUACCGCAUACUAGCGCAUGGAUCCUAAUGGGAUUAGCUAGUGGGUGGGGUAAAGGCUCACCUAGGCGACGAUCUCGAGCGGGUCUGAGAGGAUGAUCAGCCACACUGGGACUGAGACACGGCCCAGACUCCUACGGGCGGCAGAAGUGGGGAAUAUUGGACAAUGGGCGAAAGUCUGAUGCAGCCAUGCCGCGUGUGUGAAGAAGUCCUUAGGGUUGUAAAGUACUUUCAGCUGGGAGGCGUUACCCACAGAAGAAGCACCGGCUAACUCCGUGCCAGCAGCCGCGGUAAUAC
rnacentral:rRNA from 1 species